rfam:Rhizopus oryzae RA 99-880 supercont3.2 genomic scaffold, whole genome shotgun sequence.
GGGUUCUUGGUGAAGUGGUAUCAUUCUUGCUUUGGGUGCAAGAGGCCCCGGGUUCAAACCCCGGAGGACCCC